UACGGAGGGUGCAAGCGUUAAUCGGAAUUACUGGGCGUAAAGCGCACGUAGGCGGUUUUUUAAGCUAGAUGUGAAAGCCCCGGGCUCAACCUGGGAACUGCAUUUAGAACUGGAAAGCUAGAGUAUGGUAGAGGAGUGUGGAAUUUCAGGUGUAGCGGUGAAAUGCGUAGAGAUCUGAAGGAACAUCAGUGGCGAAGGCGACACUCUGGACCAAUACUGACGCUGAGGUGCGAAAGCGUGGGUAGCAAACAGG
rnacentral:rRNA from 1 species